rnacentral:lncRNA from 1 species
UGUCGUCGUGUCCAAGGGUUGGUUCCCACCUUGCACCCUGAGCUGAGGGGAUAGGCUUCAGCCACCCUCGACCCUGAACUGGAAUAAUUAGGUACUGCUUAGGAUGAAUAUGAUUUGGAGAAAUUCCAUUUCUUGUCUAAGGCUAGGAAAGGUGCCACACAGAUACCAAAGUGGUUACCACCCAGUGGCCCCUCUGGGAUCAAGGAUUUUAACUGACCCAGCCAAAGUUUUUGAACACAACAUGUGUUAAGUAUGAGAGAGAAGCUAGUAAAUACUGGGACACAUUUUACAAGAUUCAUAAGAAUAAGUUUUUCAAGGAUCGUAAUUGGCUGUUGAGGGAAUUUCCUGAAAUUCUUCCAGUUGAUCAAAAACCUGAAGAGAAGGCGAGAGAAUCAUCAUGGGAUCAUGUAAAAACUAGUGCUACAAAUCGUUUCUCAAGAAUGCACUGUCCUACUGUGCCUGAUGAAAAAAAUCAUUAUGAGAAAAGUUCUGGUUCUUCAGAAGGUCAAAGCAAAACAGAAUCUGAUUUUUCCAACCUAGACUCUGAAAAACACAAAAAAGGACCUAUGGAGACUGGAUUGUUUCCUGGUAGCAAUGCCACUUUCAGGAUACUAGAGGAACUCUCCGGAGUCCUUUCUGUAUUGUUGUGAUUUUGCUUCUGGAGCUGUGGAGCUCGU